CACAUUAUUAUCUAUUUUACAAAUUUUAGUAAAUAUUUUAAUUAUGUUGUAUAUUAUUUGAUGUUUUUAAUGUAUUCUGUAUUUUAUUUAACUAUACUGUAUAUUAUGUUUCGUUUUUGAUGUAUCCUGUAUUUCGUUUAAUACGUCUAUAUCUUGCCAAAGUCUGUAUAAGUAUACAUGGACACCGAACGGAAGAGCAGAUUAUACCACACUGUGGGCAACAUAUCUUAUACAUAUAUUUGACCAUCAAUGGAUGGUGGACUGUUAGAAUUGGCUGUAGUCUAUAAUCUGUCCGUUUCUUUAAAACUAAUUCUUAUUAUCGAAAUUAUUUUAAAAUUUAAGAUAAGGGUUCCAAUUGAUCCCUUGUUUCACAUGUUCAAUUUCAGGAUUCAUCAAAGUGGCCAACAGGCAGCCAUAUAGGAUUUUAAAAGUUGAAGUUUAUUUAUAUUUCUUGGGGAGUACUGGAUAGAUCAUUCUCAAAUUUCAUUUUGUAACUUCCCCAUAGUCAGUAGUUACACAUUGUCAAUUAUGGGGUAAAUCAGGGUAACAAAAGGCACAGGAGGCCAUCUGGGAUUACGAUAUUUGUAGUUGGUUAUCACUUUAUCUUAAAAAAUUCAUGACGGAUCAUUUUCGAAUUUGCGAUGCAGGGUUUGCUGGGUCCCUAGUUGUGAUUAUUUGGUUUUUAGCAUGUGAAAGCAUGGAAGAAAGGGAAAUGAUCCAACUAAGAUCUCUCACAGGUCUCUUGUAAUCUAUAUUUCUCUAACACAAUAAAUGUUUACAUCUGAGUUUACAGCAGGCUCCAGUUGCUCAGAGCUGGGUAAGAGUUUACCAGUGGUUAAUGAAAUAUUCUAAAGAUAAAUCAAACAACAUGAGGAGAUUGUGUGACAUUUUGCAGCUGUAGCUUUGUUAAUACAGUUCAGAUUGAUAUUUUUUGAGUAUCAAUUUUGCUUUGAAUACCAAUGUAUUUUCAGUGACAAAAAUUAAAAUGUUUCGCUAACCAUUGGUUAGCUCUAACCAAGCUUUAAGCAAUUGGGGCUAGGGAGGUAAUUGCCUGUUUUAAGGGAAGUUAUAGCCAGUCUGAAUGGGAGGUUAUAGCCUGUCUGUAGGGAGUUAAUAGCCUGUAGUAAGGGGAGGUUAUAGCCUGUCUGUAGGGAGGUUAUAGCCUGUAGUAAGGGGAGGUUAUAGCCUGUCUGUAGGGAGGUUAUAGCCUGUAGUAAGGGGAGGUUAUAGCCUGUCUGUUGGGAGGUUAUAACCUGUAGUAAGGGUAGGUUAUAGACUGUAGUAAUGGGAGGUUAUAGCCUGUAGUAAGGGCAGGUUAUAGCCUGUCUGUAGGGAGGUUAUAGCCUGUAGUAAGGGGAAGUUAUAGUCUGUAGUAAGGGGAGGUUAUAGCCUGUAGUAAGUGGAGAUUAGCCUGUAGUAAGGGGAGGUUAUAGCCUGUCUGUAGGGAGGUUAUAGCCUGUAGUAAGGGGAGGUUAUAGCCUGUCUGUAGGGAGGUUAUAGCCUGUAGUAAUGGGAGGUUAUAGCCUGUAGUAAGGUGAGGCUAUAGCCUGUGGUAAGGGGAGGUUAUAGCCUGUAGUAAGGGGAGAUUAGCCUGUUGUAAGGGAAGGUAAUCCCUUGCUGUAAGGCCAUGUGAUAGCCUGUAGUAAGAGAAGAGAAUAGUCAGUUUUAAGGGGAGGAAAUAACUUGUUGUGAUGGGAGGUUAUGACCAGUCUUAAGGGGAGGUUAUAGCUAGUCUUAUGACUAGCCUCUUGUAAGAGUAGGUUAUAGCCAGUUGUAAUGGAAGGUGAUAGUCUGUGCCAAGAGGAGAGAAUAGUUUGUUGUAAGGGGAGGUAAUAACCUGUUGUAAGGGGAGAUAAUAGCCUGUUAUAAGGGGAGGUAAUAGCCUGUUGUAAGGGGAGGUAAUAACCUGUUGUAAGGGGAGGUAAUAGCCUGUUGUAAGGGGUUGUAUUUUUUUGUAACUGAACCUUAUCAUCUUUGCUUUAGUGAUCACUAUUAACAUUUUAAACACAGUUUAGUCUAUAAAGGCAGACUUUGUUCAUUAUUUUGUGUGCUUUUAUUAUUGCAAUGGCAGUUCUAAUUAAAUUCCAUGUUAAAGGAUCAUCAUGGUUAUUGUGAAUAAAAUUCUUAUGAAAUA